rnacentral:sRNA from 1 species
CAAAGUCAUUGCCCUCCAUGAACUAACAAUCUACAGGGAGCUGUAAAACAAGUACAUGUGCAAUUUCUGGCCUGGGUUUGAAUCCCAGCACUUCUAGCUGCACAACUUUACCCAAGAGGCUUAUUCUUUCUGAGCCUCUGGCUCUGCAUCUGUAAAAUGGACUUUACAUUCAGUUUCUUUAUCUGGCAAUAAGGAAAAAUCCAAAUGGAUUUCUCACUUUUCGACCAGAUGUUUCAUUGUCACACAGCCCGUGUGACAGCAUUGGCCCCUAGUACAGGCAGAGUUGAAAAGUGAUGUGAUGGGUCAUGGUUGCCCCUCUACUCAGAGAAAACUCCUUCUUGACCUCAUCACGGUCGCUGAAAGUACUAAGAAUUAUAUCUGAAAUCAAGCAUUGGUAGCAGAACACAAAUAUGUUACCAAAUUAGUUGGAAGAGGUUAGGAGCUUGUAAGGAAGACCAUAGCAGUUGAAAACAAAACAAGGCACAUUUCCAUUGUACAUCCCAGGAGUAGUUUGAAUGGUUUAAGGACCAGCUAUGUGUGUGCUUGCUUAAGCGUAUGUGCCCUGGGUAUUCUGCAGUGUGUGGGGAGCUGGCAGUGUGAUGAAGGGGACAGGAUUCUAGAUGAGCUACUCCACUCUGAAGACCCUAUGACUGUAUCCACUGGCAAGAAGUUUGAAUAAAGGCCCUUUUACUCUUUCAUGCCAGCUCUUGAAAGAGGCCUAACCAAGGCUCUAAAGAAAUUGGAUGACUACCUGAACACCCCUCUACCAGAGGAGAUUGAUGCCAACACUUGUGGGGAAGACAAGGGGUCCCGGCGCAAGUUCCUGGAUGGGGAUGAGCUGACCCUGGCUGACUGCAAUCUGUUGCCCA